AUGUGAAAGCACGUAGCUUUCAGCUUGAAACAAUAGGUAAUAGAAAAUAAGAUAGCUGCACAAGAGACAAACAGUUCAGUGGCUAUGAGGAAAUACUGAUCUUCCCCAGGACAGGACUUUGGUUCCCAUCACCCAAACCCGGCAGCUCACAAUCUCCUGUAACUUCAGCACCAAAAGAUAUUACACCUUCUUCUGACUUCUGCACACAUGAGGAACAAAUACACAAAUAUAUAAAUACAAAUAUAAUAACUCUUUAAAGAUAAAUAAAACAAAAAAAUCAAUAAUCAUAUAUUUUGCUGGAGCCAGGGCCUUCCUUGCGCAUUCAAGGCAAGCACUUUACUACUGUGCUACACCCCAUCUCUAAUAAUUAAGUUUAAUAUCUCAGUUGUUUUGUGCUAAACAAUUUUCCCCCUGGAGGCCCCGCCCCUCUUAGGCCCGCCUCCUUCAGCCUCUAGGAUUGGCUUUCCCCCACUUCCGGCUGGGUCCGAGUGCACUCCGGCUUCCGGUGUCAUGGCGGCCUGAGGUCCGGGGAGUCGGUCGGAGCGCUGCAGGCCCCUCCCUGCGGAGCGGCGGGUCCGGGCGGGGAUGUGACGGCGGGCGCCGCGGGCCUGCCUGGCGCGUCGUGUCGGCUCGCGUGUCCUCGGCCCAGCCCGCACCAUGGCGGGGUCCGGCUGCGCGUGGGGCGCCGAGCCGCCGCGCUUCCUGGAGGCCUUCGGGCGGCUGUGGCAGGUCCAGAGCCGCCUGGGCAGCGGCUCGUCGGCCUCGGUGUACCGGGUGCGGUGCUGCGGUACCCCGGGCUCGCCCCCCGGCGCCCUCAAGCAGUUCCUGCCUCCGGGAACCACCGGGGCUGCGGCCUCGGCCGCGGAGUAUGGUUUCCGCAAAGAGAGGGCGGCGCUGGAGCAGUUGCAGGGUCACAGGAACAUCGUGACUUUAUAUGGAGUCUUUACCAUACACUUCUCUCCCAAUGUGCCAUCACGCUGUCUGCUGCUUGAACUCCUGGAUGUCAGUGUUUCGGAAUUGCUUUUAUAUUCCAGUCAUCAGGGCUGCUCCAUGUGGAUGAUACAGCACUGUGCCCGAGAUGUUCUGGAGGCCCUCGCUUUUCUUCACCAUGAGGGCUACGUCCAUGCAGACCUCAAACCACGAAACAUCCUGUGGAGUGCGGAGAAUGAGUGUUUUAAGCUUAUUGACUUUGGACUCAGCUUCAAAGAAGGCAAUCAGGACGUAAAGUAUAUUCAGACAGACGGGUAUCGCGCUCCUGAAGCAGAGCUGCAGAACUGCUUGGCCCAGGCCGGCCUGCAGAGUGAUACAGAAUGUACCUCAGCUGUUGAUCUGUGGAGCCUCGGAAUCAUUUUACUGGAAAUGUUCUCAGGAAUGAAGCUGAAACAUACAGUCAGAUCUCAGGAAUGGAAGCAUGCUUCAUGAUGACCCGGGCAGAAGAAUCCCUGCUGAGAUGGCAUUGUGCAGCCCAUUCUUUAGCAUUCCUUUUGCCCCUCAUAUUGAAGAUCUGGUGAUGCUUCCGACUCCAGUGCUCAGGCUCCUCAAUGUGCUGGAUGAUGAUUACCUUGAAAAUGAAGAUGAAUAUGAAGAUGUUGUAGAAGAUGUGAAAGAGGAGUGUCAGAAAUAUGGACCAGUGGUUUCUCUGCUUGUUCCAAAGGAAAAUCCUGGCAGAGGACAAGUCUUCGUUGAGUACGCGAACGCUGGUGAUUCCAAAGCUGCUCAGAAGUUGCUGACUGGGAGGAUGUUUGACGGGAAGUUUGUUGUGGCUACAUUCUACCCGCUGAGUGCCUACAAGAGGGGAUAUCUUUAUCAAACCUUGCUUUAAUCAGUAACCUAAGGACUACUUCCUGUUUCUCCUCUUCCAUUUCUUGGAUUAUUAUAUUCCACAGCUGAAUGCAGGAGCACCCCUUUACCCAUUUUAAAGGGUACCUUGUACAUUUAUUUAAUCCUACUAAUGUGCAGCCAUUGCCCAGACAGUGACUGCAUUGCAAACAUGGCACUGAGUAGGACCCGACCUCUCAGCUAUACAUUGAGGGGGUUAGAGCACCCAUGUGGCCACCCUUUAUUUGUGCAGUAGGGCAGGUGCUGCUCUUUACUAUGUAACCUAAAAAGAUGUCAUUUCAUGUGAUGAUGAAGCAAAGAUGAGUUGUUUGUCAUAGUAAAUACUAUUAACAAAUUUGUUAGGGUUGGUGACAUCACAGAAUAUUUGUUUGUAUUGUCAGGUGUAUCUCCUUGUUAUUCUAGCUGGCACUGGAUGCUCUAAUAAUGUUAAGUCAUUGUCAAGCAGCAGUUACCUACCGUGUUCUUAACAAUGAGUUGUGAAUUUUUCUAAAGGAGUACUGUAGGACUUAAUAUUCCUCCGAAGAAACUGCAGUGAGCCUAUCAAUGUUUUUAAAAUUACUAUUAAGGCUUUUAAAAUAGAAAGCUGAUGCUUGAUCUUGCACAAUUUUUAUGUAUAGUGUGUAUGCUUGAGUGGGUGUGCAGGUGUGAAAGACUAUAGAGAAUCUGAGUCAGUGUAUUUUACAGUGUGAGUCUUGUGAGCUAACACACUCUAUAACCAUUUCUUCCUACCGGUUUCACACCUGAGAGACUUGGGCUAUAGGUUUCUUGAAAGUUGGUCUGACAGAUAGAAUGUAAUUGACAAGAGAGUUCAUUACUGUAAAGUGCAGAACAAAGUGGAGUCUAGACCAGGGUUCCAUGUAGCUCUUCAGAGUGUAAGUUACCCUGUUCUCUGCUCUACUGUAGACCCAAGAUUGGCUCAUCUCUUUUGUACUGAACCUCUUGUGAUAAUUGUAAAGUUUUUCCAGAUGUGAUUCUUUCUGCUAUAAUGGGAAAUUGAAAUGGAUCAGAUAAAAGUUAGAUGCACAGUGACGGGAAAAGAGAAGAGUGCAGAGAAGGCAGCUCAUCACAGACCCUCCUCCCCCAUCUGCCCUGCUGCCCUGCCACCUUCCUCCUUUCCCCGUCGCCUCUGUCUGCAGCCUGAGGGCAGUGUCCCGAGUCAUCGGCUUUUGACUGUAAGGGAAAAGAAAGGUUGAUGUAUUAGAAGGUUGAAGUAGAAAGGAAGAAAAUUCAGUUUCUAAAAGAACAAUAGCAAUCUAGUGUGUCCUUGAUAGAGGAUGCCUGUUGCCACGAGUUUGUGGACACAGAUGGACUGUGGCUUGAGGGAUAUGAGUGGGGUUCUUCCUGCUCUGUAGUAGUUUGCCUUGAAAGGUGUAAACGUAGGAAACUUUUGUAAAGCACUGAUUAUACAAGAUAACCCACAGAUUGUACACUUGUGACAGAGUUUUUCCUAUUUCCUUACCUGAAUGAAAGUGUUAUUUAUUUAUUUUUCCUUAGGAAAGAGUGUUUGUUUCUCUUCCUGCUGGCAGCCUGCUUAUAUAGUCUCUUGUCCAUGCUGUUCAAGUUCCCAAAAACUCCAUUAAAACUUGCAUUUUAGAGGUUGAAUUAUUUUACCCUGUUUAGACAUUUACUGCCCAACAUUUGUCAGUAUAAUCAAAUUGUCCCGAGCUCCCACUUAGGAAGUUACAUUUGGUGUAAGGGGAUUUGCUGCUGAGUUACCUCUGCUCGUCUCUCGUGGUCCCUGAUGAGUGUCUUGGGAAGAAGGCUUUUUCAGGGGUUCAUUGUGUGGUUGGUUUUCAAGUCAAACUUGAAGAACAUAGAAUCAGGGCUGUGAAGUCCUAACUAAGCUUUCCUAAAACAUAAAUAUUUACAUGAGGAGCUGCUUCUGUGGUCAUUAGUAGCAGGUCUCUACGUUUCUACUGAUGACCACAAGAUACAAGUGAAUUCUUUUGAAGGGCAAGUAUGGUUAGCACAUGUUCCCAUAUCUCAUAAAAAAGAGAUCCUUGCAAAUAAACUGCAGGUAGGCUGCCAAGCUUUACCGUGCAGUAUGCUGCUAACACUGCUGUACUCACAGCAUUCUGUGAACCUCAUCCAUGCAGAUGUAGCUAUGCACAUGUGUAGAGUUGACACUGUAGACUUGUUACAGACGAUGCUAGCCAGAUUUUAAGGGAGCUGAGGAAGUAAAUGAGUGAGCCCGAGUAAUUACAUUGAGAUCAUUGAAUUAAAUAGUUUAUAUUGAAGUCACAGACUUGAAGACAAAAGAUAACCUGCUAUGAUUUAAACCAUUGUGUGAUAGCUCUUAGCCCAUUUUACCAAAGAGGACAGCUGCAGAUUCCUCCUCCUCUGAUACUAUCAGGACUUUCAUUUUAAUAUCUUUCUUAAACUGGGACCAAAUAAUACUACAAAAGAUGCAAUUUUCACAAUAAAUAUAUGCACAGGGAUUUUAAUUCCUUGAAAUUAUUAAAAUCCUAGAAUUCUCUUACUAAGGGGUAAAGAAGUGAGCGCUCAUGUUACUUAGUCCCUGUCUUUGGGGGCAAAUUUUAUCUCAGGUAGUUUUUCUCUCCCUAUGUUAAGAUUUGUGCUUCCUUCCUUCUCUCUUGCCUCCUUCGGUUCGUCUUUAUUCUUCCAAAGCACUAUACAGUGCACAUUUUGUCCCUGAUUAGGCACAGAAAGCGAUUGCCCGAGGGAAAACUUGGGGUUCUUUUGAAGUAUUUGGAGGAGGAGACUUGUAGCCAUUAUCAAAACUAUAACUCUGUAGUUGGAAGAGAAUAAUAGUGCUGGGUACCCCAGAAAGGUACUGCCUGCAUUUCACCAUAAGUCUACAUUUAUUAUGACUGGAUACUCUUCUUCCUUUGUGACCAUUGGCACAGCGUCUCCCUUUGGGAACUCUUCCUCUCUGCUAAACUGAUCUAAAUUUAUGGCUGCUUUUAGAAUCAAAUGACUAACAUAGUUCUACUCAUCUGUCUCUGUUUUAAUUGAGAGGAGUGUGGUCUUCUCGUCGUUAUGUAGCUGCUGAAGAUAUGUUAACCUGCCAGCAACUGUGCUGCCACCCAGAGAAAGGUGCCGAAGUAUGAGGGGCAUAAGGCUUCCUUCUGUCUUAGUCUAGACUUUCCCUCAGGCAAGGCACCACUUAGAGGAUAACGUAGAAGCAGGCUGAGGAUCAUGCUGUUUUAUGGCUCUUCUGAAUGUGGCAGGUGGCUGACAACUUGGCAUCAUUCUUGUUAGUUCUCCCGCCAGUUUAUUAAGCAAUUUUAUUUUUAACAGUCGCUGAAAAUGAGCAUCAUCGUGCCUACCUGGUGGGAAUUAUAGCAGUACAGUGGGAGGGGACGCACUGGUGACCAUGCACUUUACCUAGACUCUCACCCAAAGGGUACGGGCUGGGCUCUUUGUUCAGGUUAGGGUACAGAUCGUGAUGUUUCAUCUGUUGGAUGAUGUGUAGCUAAAGUUCUGGGCAAGUCAAAUAUUAAACCUCACCUGGCCGAUGUCCCAGGGGAACUGCACUGUCGCCUUUCUCUUGGAAUAACUUGGAUUGAUUCGUGUGAGUCCAGAAUUUUCUUGGCAUACUUUUUAAAAAAAUGUAUAAAAUGAUCCCAGUUUGACUUAUUUCAGAAUUACAUGUUGAUGGAAAGGCCAGUUAUCUGUCACAUCUGAUUCUGGGAUCUAGUUUCAUUUAUCAGGUUCUUUCUUCAGCACUUACUGAUCCAGCUCUCUCUUUCUUGUAAGUUGUGGACACUUACACACCCGUCCUUGGUCACUUCUAGUUCAACAGAAUCCCCAUUUCUUGAGGUGCUCGGCAAGUUACCUUUCUUUGCCUAGGGUUUGGCACUCUUCACUUGGCGUUGCCUGUCUCCUCAAAUACACACUGCUCUUGUUGAGGCUGUUGUGUGGAGCUCAUCUGGUAUGUUUAGAUUCCUGGGAGGUUGGGUGUUCGAGACAGGGGUUCUCUGUGUAGCCUUGUCUGUCCUGGAACUAGAUUUUAGAUUCUUAAUCAUGGAGAAGCUUGGAUAUUUUAGUUUUUAGAGUGUCCCCAUUUUUUUUAAGAAUGAAUUUUGAUCCUUUCUCUACCUUAUAACAUAGGAUGGAUCAUGAUUUUUAUCUUUGCCACCUCCCCCAGAUGGUGGUCACCAGUGACUAUUGCUUUACACUGUGACAAGCAGUUGGCAGGUACUAGGUAUUGAAGAAGGUAAACAACUUAGAGUAUUUUUGCUAUGACUUUAUAGGAGAAAUGAGCUGUCAAAAGAAAUAUGUACAAGCCAGGGAGCAUUUAGGAUAGAAAGUUUUUGGAGACAGGGUUUUGCAGUGUAGCCUAGACAAGCCCCCAGCUCAGGAUCUUCCUGCUUCAGCUUCCCAAGUGCUGCUUGUCACAGAUGUGCACCAUCUUGCCCAGCUCUGCUAGGAAGCUGUUCUAUAGAUGGUCAUAGGUGUUUUUCAGGAUAUAAGACUAACACACAAGUUUACACACCUUUUGUUGUCCUGAUAGUGUCUAUAGCUCAGCGCGUUCCCUGAUUCUUGUGCUGCUUACGGGAGUGAUUGUUUUAAACAUGCUGUUUUUGUGCCUUUCAGAGAGUCAUAGUCAUGGUAGCUGUGUUUGCUGGAGUUCAUGGGAACCUCACUAAAGGAUGGCCGGAGUGCUAGACUGGUAGCAGUCAUGAUAAUGCCAAGAAAAAGUGGUGGCUCUUUUGAAGGCUCAGUGUGCUUUGUGAACUGAGUUCUUAGUGUUUAGUGGCAAGGCAGGCCCGCUUUUGCUUGCCUUACAAGGUCAUUUCAUCUCUGUUGUACAAAACACGGCUGCUCCUGCUCUACCUCUCUGUUAAAGCAAAGCAAGUCACAUUCUUGAAGACUGGAAUGCUUACUUUUUUGUUUGUUUCUUACUGAGAACCUUGUAUAAGCAGCUACUACUGCCACCUUCAGCUCCUGAUGAUCUGUGAGCGGGUUCUAGCCAUUCUUUAAGAUCCUUGGUCAGACUCCCUUCCCUUCGCUCUGUCAGCCCCUCUUACUAUUCCUGAUAUCAGACAGCAUGCAGAAACAUUGUGCGCAUGUUGACUCAGAUGCUCCUCAGUGACUUGAAUUCUUUCAGCUGUGUUACUCUAUUAGAUGGGUCAUCAGAAGGCUGUCAGAGAUAAGAACAGGGAAGACAGAGAUGGACAUGAGCAGAGAGGAGGAAAAAUGGCUCCCUUACUGGUGUCGGGAAUCUUCCACAUAGAGGUCAUGGUCUAAGAAUCUAAACUUUUUACCUGUAGAUUUAAAACAUUGCCUUUCUCAUACAUUCCUCAUCCUCGUUUCCCCAAAAGACUCUUGUCAGGGUUUAUGAGGCCGACCAGAUUAAAUACCCAUAUUCAGUUUCUCUUGAUUUUCUUAAGAAGUAUUUUAAUUCCCUUGUGUAUUUGGUGUUCACUACUGUUCUUGUGACUCAAGUCUCAGAGAGAAACUGCGGUCAGCCACCUCGGUCCUCCUGUUGCACGUGGGUGGCGGCAUCCGUGUGUACCGAUGCAGUUACGGCACCUUGUGAAAAGGAGUGUGAGCGGUGUCUAUCCGAGGAUAGGAAACUUCAGUCUGCACUUCUGUGAGCCAGAAGAAUACAAAGCUGUCACAUUUCCAGCAGUUUAGUUUUCAUUCUUAGCUCUUUUUGAAAAAUCUUAAAAUACUUUAACAUUCCUUAAGUAGUGUCAAAUCUAGGGUAGAAGGCUUUUUUCCCCCCAUCCUAAAAAGGGCUCCAUCUUUUUCAUCUUUUUGUUACUCUUAGAAAUUUAUGCUCAGUACAUUUUAAUAGUUUCUGGUCUCUAGACUAUGUCAGCAUUGGAGUGGUUGGUUGUGAAUAUCAAGCUACUACUGUUUUUCUUUGGAGACAUGAACUUUCUGUUUGGGGCAUAGAAGGUCUGGUUUAAGCAACAUGUGAAAGAUCACCUAAACCAAAGCCCGCUCGCUGUAAGGGCAGUUGCCUCCUGUUGGUUCACCUUCACCUUGAACGACAGGAACACUUCAGUGCGCAGUGAGUGUUGUCUGUAACGUCUCUACCUGGGCUUUCAGUCGCGUGUUGCUCUUCGCAUUUCCUAAAGUUCCUGAUGCUAUGAUUCUGGUUUUUGUGGUGUUUUGCUGCUUGUGUGUGAUUGAUUAUUGGUUUGUUUGUUUGAACUAAGUGGGACUAUAAAUGUAGAUAGAUGUGUUUUAGUACCAAGAUGUUCUUUUUUCAUUAUCAGUCUUUCAGAUGUCUAUUUUCUUGCUGAAUAGCAGAGGACUUUAUUUCCACCUCCCUAUAAAGUGUGAGCACUGUGUUUCAGCGAGCUGCAUUGCGUACUUUUGCUGAAAACUUCUCUGUAAACACAAUUGCCUUGUUGAGUUUCAUUGUAAACUGACUCGCCAUGCGAUGCACUGUUGAUAGCUUCCUGAUGUGUGGUGGAUAAGAGUGAUAAAAUAAAGCUUACAAAGAAAAGAA